rnacentral:rRNA from 1 species
UACAGAGGUCUCAAGCGUUGUUCGGAUUCAUUGGGCGUAAAGGGUGCGUAGGCGGCGCGGUAAGUCGGGUGUGAAAUCUUGGAGCUUAACUCCGAAACUGCAUUCGAUACUGCCGUGCUUGAGGACUGGAGAGGAGACUGGAAUUUACGGUGUAGCGGUGAAAUGCGUAGAUAUCGUAAGGAAGACCAGUGGCGAAGGCGGGUCUCUGGACAGUUCCUGACGCUGGAGGCACGAAGGUCAGGGGAGCAAACGGG